AGCUGAGUCUUUCCGCGAAGCCAGAGUGUCUGCAAGCAGCUUUCCAGGGAUCAGAGUUUAGCUGCUGUGUCUCAGAUUGAAUUGGAGAAGGCGCUUAUCACAUAAAGUCCUUGCCCUGUUGGCCUGCUGGGAGCAACACUAACAAAUAAGGGAGACUUCUUGAGAACGCAAAGAACAAAAAUCUUUUUCCUGACGCCAGCUGAUUUUGACUCUUUCCCAUCACCCCAUGCAGUCCCUUGCGCUGCUGCUCUGUCUAGCCAAAGCUCGACGCGCAUGGCCACCCCUCACCAUCUGUCUUAGUUUUUAGAGUGAGCUCACCCUGCUCUCCCAUUUUUGUACUGACAAACACCUGGGGGUGGCGCCUGAAAAGCCUUUGACGAAAUGACUGAGCAGCCCACGCAGGCAGGACUGGCAGUUGGGACGGAAUAGGGUAUUUGGUUUGGGCCCAGAUCUGCAGUUUUAUGAACCAUCUGAGAUCUCUGUCAUGUGAGGAUAUGAUAAGAAGAUGUCUUUCUGCAGUCCAGAAAGAAUGCCUUCAUCAGACAGACCAUCUGCCAGUACCCUGGUCCUAUACUUCCCAACCUCCGGAAUGCAGGUGAUAUAGGAAGAGUGAUCUCAAGAGCUCUAGCAGCCAGUGACCUGGGGCUACAUUCUGGAAAAUAACCAAGAUAAGAGUUUGUGUCCAGAAAAGAAAUUUCAGGU